CACAUAUGAGAGCUAUCCUCCUCUAUGCUCACUAUGACCUCAUGGUCAAUCAUUAAUAAAGGCAACUGGAGAGAGAAGUUUAGAGCCUAAUAAAUGCUAAGAGCAACUGGCAAGUUCUUCUCUUUCUUUCUGCCCCUCCCAUCCUGGUCGUGCGUGGGAAGUGAGCACCUGCCCAGAGUGUUUUCAUCCUACCGUGGCUCCAGUCAUGGGAGGCCCCUCCCCACCAAGGCCCUCCUAAAAAUCUGGGUCUGAAGCAGACAGCUGUGAAGACACAGGGAAUGGUAGAGGAAAUGGCCAGGAGGCCCCGUGAGCGAGGAAGGAGGCUCAGUAAACCGAUGGCAAAAACACUGAGCUGGGCAGGAGGGUCCUGAGUUCUGAACUUGGCUCCAUCAGAGAUCUCACGGUUGUGGCGAACCAAGGAUCUUCAAUGGACGGACAUGUCCGCAGCCCCUAAGUUCCCAGAUUUUGUCUGCCAGUGAUCUGAAGGAUUUGUUGGGAUCGAGCAGGAGAGAGGACAUGGACCCAGGAAU